GGAGUUGUUGCUCAGUGGUAGAGCACUUGCCUAGCAUGCAUGAAGCACUGGGUUUGAUUCUCAGCACCA
rnacentral:tRNA from 1 species